rnacentral:rRNA from 1 species
UACGGGGGGGGCAAGCGUUGUUCGGAAUUACUGGGCGUAAAGGGCUCGUAGGCGGCCAACUAAGUCGGACGUGAAAUCCCUCAGCUUAACUGGGGAACUGCGUCCGAUACUGGAUGGCUUGGAUUUGGGAGAGGGAUGCGGAAUUCCAGGUGUAGCGGUGAAAUGCGUAGAUAUCUGGAGGAACACCGGUGGCGAAGGCGGCAUCUUGGACCGGUAUUGACGCUGAGGCGCGAAAGCUAGGGGAGCAAACGGG